GAUGAACGCUAGCGGCAGGCUUAAUACAUGCAAGUCGAGGGGUAGCAGGUCUGUAGCAAUACAAAUGCUGACGACCGGCAAACGGGUGCGGAACACGUACAGAACCUUCCUUCGAGUGGGAGAUAGCCCAGGGAAACUUGGAGUAAUAUCCCAUAGGAUCAUAGAGUGGCAUCACUUAGUGAUUAAAGAUUUAUCGCUUGAAGAUGGCUGUGCGGCUGAUUAGGUAGUUGGUGUAGGUAACGGCUCACCAAGCCUUCGAUCAGUAACUGGUGUGAGAGCACGACCAGUCACACGGGCACUGAGACACGGGCCCGACUCCUACGGGAGGCAGCAGUAAGGAAUAUUGGGCAAUGGAGGCAACUCUGACCCAGCCAUGCCGCGUGGAGGAUGAAGGUCCUCUGGAUUGUAAACUUCUUUUAUUUGGGAAGAAAUGCCGAUUUUCUAAUUGGUUUGACGGUACCAGAUGAAUAAGCACCGGCUAACUCCGUGCCAGCCGCCGCCGUAAGAC
rnacentral:rRNA from 1 species